rnacentral:rRNA from 7 species
GUUAAGAACGACUCUCGGCAACGGAUAUCUCGGCUCUUGCAUCGAUGAAGAACGUAGCGAAAUGCGAUACUUGGUGUGAAUUGCAGAAUCCCGUGAACCAUCGAGUCUUUGAACGCAAGUUGCGCCCGAAGCCCUUAGGCUGAGGGCACGCCUGCCUGGGUGUCACCAA